GACAGAGGUCUCAAACGUUGUUCGGAAUCACUGGGCAUAAAGCGCACGUAGGCGGUCUGCUAAGUCACGCGUGAAAUCCCCCGGCUCAACCGGGGAACAGCGCGUGAUACUGGCAGGCUUGAGGUCGGUAGGGGUGAGUGGAACUCCAGGUGGAGCGGUGAAAUGCGUAGAUAUCUGGAGGAACACCGGUGGCGAAAGCGACUCACUGGAUCGAAUCUGACGCUGAGGUGCGAAAGCUAGGGUAGCAAACGGG
rnacentral:rRNA from 1 species